UACGUAGGGGGGCUAGCGUUGUCCGGAAUCAUUGGGCGUAAAGAGCGUGUAGGCGGCUCGGUAAGUCCGCUGUGAAAGUCCAGGGCUCAACCCUGGAAUGCCAGUGGAAACUGUCGAGCUAGAGUCCGGAAGAGGCGAGUGGAAUUCCAGGUGUAGCGGUGAAAUGCGCAGAUAUCAGGAGGAACACCAAUGGCGAAGGCAGCUCGCUGGGACGGUACUGACGCUGAGACGCGAAAGCGUGGGGAGCAAACAGG
rnacentral:rRNA from 1 species